rnacentral:SRP_RNA from 1 species
GCCGGGCGUGGUGGCUCACGCCUGUAAUCCCAGCACUUUGGGAGGCCGAGGCGGGAGGAUCGUCUGAGGUCAGGAGACCAGCCUGGCCAACACGGGGAAACCCCGCCUCUA